rnacentral:rRNA from 1 species
GAUGAACGCUGGCGGCGUGCCUAAUACAUGCAAGUCGAGCGAACAGACGAGGAGCUUGCUCCUCUGACGUUAGCGGCGGACGGGUGAGUAACACGUGGAUAACCUACCUAUAAGACUGGGAUAACUUCGGGAAACCGGAGCUAAUACCGGAUAAUAUAUUGAACCGCAUGGUUCAAUAGUGAAAGACGGUUUUGCUGUCACUUAUAGAUGGAUCCGCGCCGCAUUAGCUAGUUGGUAAGGUAACGGCUUACCAAGGCAACGAUGCGUAGCCGACCUGAGAGGGUGAUCGGCCACACUGGAACUGAGACACGGUCCAGACUCCUACGGGAGGCAGCAGUAGGGAAUCUUCCGCAAUGGGCGAAAGCCUGACGGAGCAACGCCGCGUGAGUGAUGAAGGUCUUCGGAUCGUAAAACUCUGUUAUUAGGGAAGAACAAAUGUGUAAGUAACUAUGCACGUCUUGACGGUACCUAAUCAGAAAGCCAAGGCUAACUACGCG